UACGUAGGGUGCGAGCGUUAAUCGGAAUUACUGGGCGUAAAGCGUGCGCAGGCGGUUCGUUGUGUCUGAUGUGAAAGCCCCGGGCUCAACCUGGGAAUAGCAUUGGAAACUGGCGAGCUGGAGUGUGGCAGAGGGGGGUGGAAUUCCGCGUGUAGCAGUGAAAUGCGUAGAGAUGCGGAGGAACACCGAUGGCGAAGGCGGCCCCCUGGGCCAACACUGACGCUCGAGGCAACGAAAAGCGUGGGGAGCAAACAGG
rnacentral:rRNA from 1 species